CGGGAAGUAGCUCAGCUUGGUAGAGCACAUGGUUUGGGACCAUGGGGUCGCAGGUUCAAAUCCUGUCUUCCCGA
rfam:Geobacillus sp. BCO2 LR69_contig000120, whole genome shotgun sequence.